UACGUAGGAUGCAAGCGUUGUCCGGAAUUAUUGGGCGUAAAGAGCGCGCAGGCGGUUGUGUAAGACAGAUGUGAAAUCCCCGGGCUCAACCUGGGAACUGCAUUUGUGACUGCACAGCUGGAGUGCGGCAGAGGGGGAUGGAAUUCCGCGUGUAGCAGUGAAAUGCGUAGAUAUGCGGAGGAACACCGAUGGCGAAGGCAAUCCCCUGGGCCUGCACUGACGCUCAUGCACGAAAGCGUGGGGAGCAAACAGG
rnacentral:rRNA from 1 species